AGAGCUGCUGCGAGAAGAAGACCCAGGAGAUCUGGGGCAGCGAGCUGUGCGUCUGACAGCGCAGGUCCAGCAGCGUGGGCCCCAGGAAGGCGAUGCACAGGCCGAAGCUGAAGAAGACGCUCCAGUAGGGUCUGGCUCUGUAACCCAGGCUUGAAUGCAGUGGCAUGAUGGGUGCAAUCUUGUUACCUGUUACUGGUCUCUUCAGGUUUUCUUUUUGGCUCAAUCUUGAGAUGGAGGCUCGUUUUGUUGCCCAGGCUGGAGUGCAGUGGCUAUUCACAGGCACAAUCAUCAUACACUGUAGCCUAGAACUCCUGGCCUCAAGCGAUUUUCCUGUCUCAGCCUACAAAGUUGCUGGAACUCUAGAUGGAGUCUCUCUCUGUUGCCCAGGCUAGAGUGCAGUGGAACGAUCUUGGCUCACUGCAACCUCUGCCUCCCGGGUUCAAGCAAUUCUCCUGCCUCAGCCUCCUGAAUAGCUGGGAUUACAUACGUGCACCAUCACGUCCAGCUAAUUUUUGUAUUUUUAGUACAGAUGGGGUUUCACCAUGUUGGCCAGGCUGGUCUGAACUCCAGACCUCAAGUGAUCCACAUGCCUUGGCCUCCCAAAGUGCUGGAAUUACAGGUGUGAACCACCAUGCCCAACCUAGCCAGCCUGAUUUUUUAAUAUUUGUUGGGAUUUAUUUUGUGGCCUAACAUAUGCUCUAUCUUGGAAAAUGUUCCAUGCAUAUACAUUAACUUUAAUCUUCACAAUGGUCCUGUGAGGUAGAUAUUAUUAUCCCUAUUUUAUGGAUAAGAAAACUGAGGCUCAGGAAGGCAGAGUAACUUGCCUAAAGUCACACAGCAUAAGUAGCAAAGCUGAGUUUUGAGCCUGCGUUGCCUGACUCCAAAGUCUGGAUCCUUCCCAUGAGAAUGUCUGCCUCUCACAUUCAACUCCAAUACACACAUCUAAGACUAGUGCAUAAGCUGAUAGCUGUUAACAUUUUCCCCCACAGAAAAUGCAGCUGAACCAAGCCUGCCUAUCUUGUCUAUGAGCAGCUGAUUCUUUGAAUCUAAAGAAUUGAUACAGGACUUGAUACAUGUGGAAUAACAGAAAGAACCUGGACCGUGGAGUGAGACAGGCUUAGACUUGAGUUCUGGCUACACACUUGGCUGUGCCAACUCAAGGCGGCUACCUUGACAUUAUAAGGCUGAUUUUCUUCAACUGUAAAAUGUCGAUGUAGGAUUACAUGAUAACACAUGCAAAGCCUCUGGUAGAACACUCAGGGCAGCACUGCUCAUGCUUCUUAGUUGCCUUCCCCUGAUCUGGAGUGUCAAUUAAUCUUGGUUUGAGUUCCUCUUGCCCACCAGUGCACUUUGGUCCCCCAUUCAGUCAUGUAGCAAGGGGCUAUUCCUCCAGCUGUUCUUGAGUAAGCAUGGCACCUCACAUUCAUAUAGAAUGGUUACUAAUAGUCAUCCAAGUUAUUGAGAAAAAUAUUGACCACAAUGUACCACUCUCCCACUCCACUUUUUCCUAAUUAAUCUUUCCUUUGGGACUCAGCUAAGUUGUUCAUUCUGCUGGGAGUGCUCCACCCACCCAGAGCUGCCCCGAGUGCCUGCCUUGUGUUCUCUGCAUCCCCUCACCACCUUCCUUUGUGACAAGCAGCUGAGGUGUCUGUAACCCGAAUCAAUACUGGAUCAGCUCCUUGAAGAUAGAGAUUGGGUCACACAAUUAUCCUUAUAUCUUAGAGCACAGCACCUGCCUGGUACAUAGCUGGCAUUCAGAAAAUAUUAGCUACGCAAAAAUGUGUUUAAGUAUUAUAACCUUGAGUUGAUGAAACUCUGAGGCAAGAAAUAGUAUUUAUAGAGGAUUUCAUGAAAAAUGUACAAUUUAUCGAUCUCAUCAGUUCUCAGAUUUGGCUAUAUAUUAAAAUCCCCUGGAAACAUAGAAAAAAUCAGAAUCUCUGGUUGGUGGAGUCCUGUGUUGGUAUUUUGCAAAAGUUCCCAGGACUUCCUAAUGUGCAGCUAGGGUUGGAAACCACUGCUCCAGAAAAUCCACAUUUUACCACUGAAGAACUGCCUGCAUAUCCUGUACCAUUUAGGCCCUGCACUAAAGUGCCUUUAUUGAAUUAUACUUGGGCUUUGUGUCCAAUUUGACUGAACCUGGGAUAUAACUGUGCGACUCUUGUCACCGGAGAUAUGGGGAGAUGUUGUUGUCAAUGGAUCCUCUUUAUGAAGACACACCAGAGAGAUGCCUAUUGGGCAUCAGCACCAAAAAAAGGCCAUGAUCCUCCUGAGCAACCAGUUCAUGUUUGUCUUACGGAUUCCAGGAAUCAUUUAAUUAACACUAUUUUCCAGGUUUGUAGUAGCUGCUGCAAAGCUCAAGAUCAAAGCCAUGGUGCAUCUUUAUCACCUACAAAGAAUUUUGUGGUGUGUGUGUUACAUAUUGACUUGGUUCUGCAUUAUUUUUUGUCUUUUUCUCUUCACCCUCUGAUAUGGUUUAGGUCUGUGUCCCUACCCAAAUCUCAUGUCAAAUUAUAAUUCUCAAUGUUGGAGGAGGGGCCUGGUGGGAGGUGAUUGGAUCAUGGGGGCAGACAUCCCCCUUGCUGUUCUCUCAAUAAUGAGUUUUUAUGAGAUCUGGUCGUUUGAAAGUGUGUAGCACCUCCUCCUUUGCUCUCUUUUUCCUGCUGGCCAUGUGAAGAUGUGCCUGCUUCCCCUUCGCCUUCCGCCAUGAUUGUAAGUUUUCUGAGGCCUCUCCAGAAGCAGAAGCCUGUAUAGCCCACAGAACUAUGAGUCAAUUAAACCUCUUUUCUUUAUAAAUUACCCAGUCUCAAGUAUGUCUUUAUAUCAGUGUGAGAAUGUAUGAAUACACCCUCCUUUCCUUAACUUUUUCUAUAAUAAAGCUUUUUAAUUGAGAUAAUUCACAUAUCAUAAUAUUCGCCCUUUUAAAGUGUACAAUCCAGUGGUUUUUAGUGUAUUUACAAGAUUGUGUGACCAUCACUACUAAUUCCAGACCAUUUCCAUCACCCCAAAAAUAAACUCCACACCCAUUAGCAGUCACUUCUCACUCUCUCUUCCCCUCGACUUACUUUCUGUCUUUAUGGAUUUGCCUGUUCUAGAUAUUUCAUAUCUAGAUAUUUCAUAUAAAUGGAAUCAUACAAUAUGUGGCUUUCUGUGUCUGGUUUCCUGUACUUAGCAUAAUGUUUUCAAGGUUCAUCCAUGGUAUCAGUAGUUUAUUCCUUUUUUAUGGCUGAAUAGUAUUCUAUUGUAUGGACAUACCACAUUUUGUUUAUACAUUCAUCAGCUGUUGGACAUUUGGGUUUCUACUUUUUGGCUAUUAUGAAUUAUGCUGCUGAGAAUAUUCAUGCACAAGUUUUUAUGUGAAUAUGUUUUAGUUCUCUUGGGUACAUAUUAGAAGGGUGGUUUGCUGUGUCAGAUAGUAACUCUGUGUUUAACUUUUUGAGACCCUUUCCUCAUUUAAAGAAAUGUUUUUGUCUUAUAGUAUAGUAUGUAUCUCUGUAAGCCACUACAGAUUCCUCUUUUUGGAAUGAGGUGGCAUAUAAAUAAAUAAAUAAAAAGUCACAAAGCACUCCCAAGCCAUCUGUUUAAUAAUCUGUGCCAGAAUGUUGCCAGGAUUCUAUAUUGAGCCGUUUGGUCUAUAAUUUCCAGAAAUACCUUCUGUCUCCUUGUAAAAAUCGGAACAUUUUCCCAUCUCCACUGUCCUCAAGUAUCUAGGUUGUUUUUCAGUCCUACCUGCAAGGGAUUUCAUGACUCUGGUGUCCUACCUGAAUCAGGCCCCCAGAACUCAUCUAUGGCCACAAAAGGUCUGCCCUCCACCUUCUCAUCUGUCUUGUGACACACUUAAAAUGUUUUGUAUCAAAGUAAUUCAUGCACAUGGUUAAAAAUAAACUAGAACAGAAGAGCUUACAGUCCCCUACCUCAUCCCUCCCACCCCUAGUCUUGCUC
rnacentral:lncRNA from 1 species